CCUACGGGUGGCAGCAGUGAGGAAUAUUGGUCAAUGGACGAGAGUCUGAACCAGCCAAGUAGCGUGAAGGAUGACUGCCCUCUGGGUUUUAAACUUCUUUUAUAUGGGAAUAAAAUGUUCCACGUGUGGGAUUUUGUAUGUACCAUCUGAAUAAGGAUCGGCUAACUCCGUGCCAGCAGCCGCGGUAAUACGGAGGAUCCGAGCGUUAUCCGGAUUUAUUGGGUUUAAAGGGAGCGUAGGUGGAAUGUUAAGUCAGGUGUGAAAGUUUGCGGCUCAACCGUAAAAUUGCAGUUGAAACUGGCAGUCGUGAGUACAGUAGAGGUGGGCGGAAUUCGUGGUGUAGCGGUGAAAUGCUUAGAUAUCACGAAGAACUCCGAUUGCGAAGGCAGCUCACUGGACUGCAACUGACACUGAGGCUCGAAAGUGUGGGUAUCAAACAGGAUUAGAUACCCUUGUAGUC
rnacentral:rRNA from 1 species